rnacentral:rRNA from 1 species
AGCUAUGGUUAGAAAGCAAGAUAAAGAUCGUGCUGGUCUGAUCUCGAAAGCUAAACAGGGUCAGGCCUGGUUAGUACUUGAGAUGGGAGACCACCUAGGAAGACCAGGUGCAAUAGGUU